UUAGAACUUAAGACGCAUCUUGGUGGCUCAGUGGAUAGAGCACUGGGCCUGGAGUUAGGAAGACCUGAGUUCAAAUUUGACCUCAGACACUUAUUAGCUGUGUGACUUUGGGCAAGUCACUUAACCUCUGUUUGUCUUAAUUAACUAGAGAAGGAGAUGACAAACCACUCCAGUAUCUUUGCCAAGAAAUCCCCAUGGACAGGAGAUUUAAAAAAUUUCCAGUAGCAAGCUAACAGUCAAUUCAAUUCAAUUUCAUUAAAUUUAGGGAACUUAUUAAGUAUCUAGGAUAUGACCUAGUAUCUGAGGUCACAUUUGAACCCCAGGUCUCCCAUUUCUAGGCCUGAUUCUCUAUCCACUGAGUCACCUAGCUCCCCUGUUACAUAGGAUUUUUAAUCUUUGUUUUUUUGCACUGGCUUUCCCCAAUAACUGGUUUCUUCUGCCCCAUUACCUCCACCUUCUAGAAUCUCUGCUUCUUUAAGACUUCAUUCAAGCACCAUCUUCUGCAGAAGACCUUUUCUUGGUUCUCUCAGCCACUACUGCCUUCCCCUCUAAGGUUAUCUUGUGUCUACUCUAUUUGUAAACACUUUUCUCUCCCCUGUAAAAAUGUUAACUCCGUUUGGAAUAGGGAUUAUUUUGCCUGUUUUUAUAUCUCCAACACUUGGCACAAUGCUUGUUCACUCACUCUGCCUACCUGCCUUUCUCUCUCUAGGAUUUGUACUCUCUAUUACUACUCUACCACACAGGGCUGUUGUAAGGAGAAGUCUCAAGUGGGAGCUAUUUCCUAAAUAUGAACUAUUAGUAUUACUGUUGCUCUUUUUCCUUGUCUGGAAGAAGCUCCCCAGUCAUUUGAGGAGGGAAUAAAGAGGGCAGCUGUAGCCUCAGAGAGGAUGGACUGAACUCAAGCCCUAUUUCAUUCAGUCUAAUUCUCCCUCAUUUUAUGGAUAGUGAUAAUGAUAAUAGUAAUCCCCCCUACAAUUCUACUCUGAUAAUGAAUGGAGAUUACCCUGAGUUACUUAAUAACUACCCUGAGAUACUUAAUAAGUUCCCUGAAUUUAAUGAAAUUGAAUUGAAUUGACUGUUAGCUUGCUACUGGAAAUUUUUUAAAUCUCCUGUCCAUGGGGAUUUCUUGGCAAAGAUACUGGAGUGGUCUGUCAUCUCCUUCUCUAGUUAAUUAAGACAAACAGAGGUUAAGUGACUUGCCCAAAGUCACACAGCUAAUAAGUGUCUGAGGUCAAAUUUGAACUCAGGUCUUCCUAAGGAGAUGGUGCUUGUAGCCCAGACGUUUAGAAAUUCCUGGGCAACUGCGAAGCUUCUGGGUAUAGAAGACCAGCCUAAGUUCAGGGGCACUUGUCUAGGGCCUGCCUGUUCGGUGAUGAAUAUUUGUGGCCACAGUCAGUCUCUAAAACCAUCUCCUUAGAGUUUGGAGAUGAGAGAGGGGCUCACCCAUAAAACCUCAGAUCCUUCAAGUAAAGAAAUCAUAGUCAUAACAAACCACAUUUAAGAUCCUUUUGAGUGCUUUCCUGACAACCACCUUCGGACGUAGGGGGUGCAAGCAUUGCCAUGCAGGUGUAUAGAUGUGGGGAAAGAGGCCCAGGCAGGCUGAGUGUGGCCAGGAUUUUCCCAGACGAACCUGGGAGUUCGGGGUUCUUUUAACUCUCCCAUAUUGUUCUUUCUCACUGAGAUAGUUCAAACAAUCCAUCAACAAGUAUUCCCGAUCACUCGCCUUCAAACUGAAAUUUACUGGACAGCCCUCUGAAGUUUGGAAAAAGCUUUGUACUCAGGAUCUCAUUUUGAGUCUCCCAACAAUUCUGGAGGUUGUGGGAAGGGGUGACUUGCCCAGGGUCGCGCAGCAGGUUGGGGCAUCUUGGACUCCAAGCCCCCGAACUCCAUCGACUAGGCAGCGCUCUCUCUCCCUAUCGGGGGCUCCUGAAACUGAGGGUCUCUGAGGGGGGCGGGCCCCUCUUUGGAAGGAGCUGAAGCGGGGUGGGGAAUAGGCGGAAACCGAGUGGCGGUUUUCUCCCCAGGAAUGAAAUCCGAGGAGGCUCAAAUCCGGCAAGCGAAGCAUUAUCGGCAAUAUGAAAAGAGAACUGGGUCCCCGACGGGCGGUCUUCUAUUCUGAAAUGGGGUAAUCGUUCCGUGGGAGGAAGGGGGAAGGGCAGGGACGUGGAGCCGCUGCCUCCUUCCCCAGAAUCUGAAGCAGGAGUCCUAAAGAGGAGGAGGGUAAGAAGGAGGGCACGGAGCUUUUUACCGCUCACCGGGACCUCUCCUGGGAGGGCAAGAGAAGCAGUCCUAAUGGCCGUGGCCGCCCUCGGAGAACACUCAGCUCUCUGGCAUUCCCUCCCCACAAUCCGAGGACCCUUAUUUCUAGCCCACUUCCAACCUUUCCUGACUGGGUGAUCUCUGGCAGAUCACUACCUCUCCACAGGAAGCCGAACAAAGAAUCCCAAGGCAGAGUCGGUGGACUGUCAGUAAUGCCGCUCUCCCUCCCUCCCAGGCAGUGACUCAAGCAGCAACCGGCCAAGGCUGGGCCAGAGUAGGGAUUAAGCCCUUUGCAACCUAGCAGCCCCGGGCCCGGGUUUGGCCUUCAAUUUUAACCCUUCGCCGACUGGCAGCUAUUCCUUGAGAGAAGGCUGAGGAAAGAAUGCUUCCACCGAGUCUACGUUGGGGGUAAAUGGGAAUAAACUAAUGUGUAGUUUGAGGGAAUGAGAUGACAUAUGUACAAUACUUUGCAAACAUGAAAGUACUCUAAGAGUAUAAAUGUUGGCUAUUGAGCUAUCCGGCCUCUGAUGCCUUUCCUCAGUCUCAGUCUGUACCCCGGAAAAAAAAAAAGAAGACGACUCCUAGGAAAAGGGAACAUAAGAGAUUUAGAUUGAAGAGUUAGAGGGAAACUUUUGGGACCAUUUAGCCCAGUCUCCUUCUUUUACAGACGUUAAUGCUUAAGGUCAUAAAGUCGUAAACCAGGAUGUGAACUAAGUUUACAGAUUCCAAUUUCAGUUCUUUCUCUGCCCUCUGUCCCCCUUUCUCUCUCUUCUACUCCCUCUCCUUCUUUCCCCUCUCCCUUUUACUCUCCCCUUCUCUCCUCUCCUUUCUUACUCUCCUCUCCACUCCCGUCUGCUUCUCUCUCCCCCUGUCUCUCUUUUCUCUCCUCUCCUCUUUAUCUCUCUCCUUCUCUCUCCCCUUCUCUCCCUUCCUCUCCUCUCCUUCCUUCUCCAUCUCUCCCUUUUCCCUCUCCUAUCCCUCCCCUCUCCAUCUUUCCCCUCCUCUCUUCUCCUUUCCCUCCCCCCCUCUCUGUCUUUCUUUCUUCUUUCUCUCUGACUCUCUCUCCCUCUCUUUUUUCUUUUUCUCUCUCUUCUCCCUUCUCAUCUCUGUCCCUUUCUUUCUCCUCCUCCCCUCUUCUCCUGUCCCUCCUUUCUGUCUCUUUCUUUCUUCUCCUCACUCUCACUCUCUCUUCCUCCCCCUUCUGUUUCUGUCUCUGUUUCUGUCUCUGUCUCUCUGUCUCUGUCCUUCCCCUCACUCCCAUCUCUGUCUCUCUUCUUUAUUCUUCCUCCCUCCUUUUUGCUGUGGAGAGUUCAACUUAUUCAGAGUCAGGAGACCCGGGUUAAAGUCUGAGCCCCCCUUUUUGUUGCUUCAAUUUUUAAACUGGUUUGCUCAAAUAUAAAAUGGGUAUGGAUAUAAUAAUACCUCCCUCACAAGGUUGUUAGUAAAGCUUAAAGCACCUUUGAAAUGUGAGUUAUUAUAAUACAGGAUCAUAGAAGGUCAAAGCUGGGAGGAACCAUUUAAUCCAAAUUCUUCCUUUGACAGAUGACAAAAUUGAGGUCAAAGGAAGGAAAAGUGAGCAAGGUCACAAGUUAGGUAUCAGAAGAGGCAGAACUAGAACCUAGGUCUCCUGAUUCUUUUUUUUUUUAAAUCUUUACCUUCUGUUAGUAUCAAUUCAAGGACAGAAGAUCUGUAAGGGCUAGGCAAGUGUGGUUAAAUGACUUGUCCAGAGUCACACAGCUAAAUAGUGUCUGAGGUCAGAGUUGACACCAGGUCUUCCUGAUUUCAAGCCUGGCUACCUAGCUGCCCUUGAUUUUCUGAUUCAAUUCAAAACUCUUAAUUAUGUUGUAUAUAUGAUCCAUUUAAACUCUCAUAGAGUUAUAUGUCUUUAGUGUGCCAAGCCCCUGAUCCCUCCCUUUCUCUGUUUGGACAAGUUAGAGUGGACAUCAGAGAGCUCCUCUCAGAUCCUCCAUUUAAGGAGAAUCUCAGUCCAGCCAUUUCAUCAUUUCUCACUUGGUAGCAGCCCCCCCCCCCCAACCCCAAGCAGAGAACCUUUUCUCCUCUUCCUCCUUCUCCUCUUCCUUUUAUAUAUUGUCUUCCCCCAUUAGAUUGGUCCAUAAGAACCAACUCCUUGAAGGCAGGGAUUCUUUGUGGCCUUUCUUAGUAUUCUUAGAACUUAGCACAAAGUCUGGCACAUAGUAGGUGCAUAAUAAAUAUUUACUGACUGAUAGAAUUUUGCUACCCUGCUCAUUAUUCUCUGGAUUUGCUCGUUUGUCAAUCUCUUUUUUAAAACCCUAGCUUUCUGUCUUCAUAACAACAACUCUAAGACAGAAAAAUGGUAAGGGCUUGACAAUUGGGGUUAAGUGACUUGUCCAGGGUCACACAGUUAGGAAGUGUGUACGGUCAAAUUUGAACCCAGGUCUUCUGUAUUCCUUAGCUGCCCCCUACCCCAUUUUGGGUCAGUAUCUCUUUAAGUAUAGACCCAAGAGCUGAACAUGUAAUUUGACUGAAACAGCCUAUAGUUUAACUAUUAGCCAUAACAUUUGCAUUAUUUGCAUUUCAAUUAUCUUUUAGAGUUCACAAAAUGAUAUGCAAAAUGCUUUCUCAUACAUAGAUCAUCAUUAGUGACAUGCUGCAGCCUGCUUAUACCUACCCUUUGCCUUUCCAUUGUUUCUAUUGCUGUUUGAGUCAUCUGCCAUUGUGGUUCUUCUGAAAUCCUGAUGUUUGUGAUUAACAGCCCUAUCACUUCGUUGGGAGGAUAUUGCUGUGGAAAAGGGCUGGAUUUUGGAAUGCCAUGGAGCUGUAAGAAAUGAUGAGCAGGCUGGGUUUAGAAAAACAGAAGAAACUUGUGUGAUAAUUCAGAAUGAAACAGAACUUGCUUCAGAUAAGCAGAACUUACCAAGAGGAUGUUGUAAACAGUAACAGCAAUUUUGUUUGAAGAGUAACUGUGAAUGACUAAGCUAUUCUGAGUAAUAGGAUUAUUCAAAUCAAAGUUAUGAAGGACACCUUCAGGGAAAGAACUGAAAUAUGGAAGUAUGGAUAGUAUGCUUCCACAUCUAUCUAUCUAUAGCAAAUGUUGGCCUUCUCUGAUACAGGGCAGGGAGGAGGAGAAGCUCAAAACUCAAAAUGUAACUCUUCUCCCCAAAUUGAAUGAUUAAUAAAGAAAAAAACAGGUGGCUUAUUGUUACCUUUUGUUUGUUUUUUAAGUAGGGAGACUCUCCAAGCAACUGAAAAUGCUACAGAAUUUCCCAAAUGUUAUCUAGUCCAAUUUUCUCUUCUUGUUCCUUUCUGGCCCUGUUGCAGUGCUUAUCCAAAAUAUAUGUACUGUUAGAUUACUUACUUCAAUGAGCUGCCUAUCCACCUUCUUAUCAUAACAGAGACAACAGGCCUUUUUAUUUCUUCCUUUAUGAUGACUAAGCCCAUCUAUUCUGAUUGACCAUAAACCUCUGUGGGGUUGAAGGAUAGUUUCACCUCUCAGGCAGUUUAGAAUCACUUCUAUUUGGGUUUAGGACAGGACAUCUUCCAAUGACAAUGGCGAACCCAUUUGGUGAGGAAAUGCUGCAUGUGAGCCAUUCCCUUACCCCAGAUGGAAGGAAGAAAGUGGUACCUUGGGGCUGCUGGGCAGAAGGGUGGUGGAUGGGAGAAAUGUCCUCAGGGCCCUGUGGAGAGGGGGAGGGGAGCAUCCCCUUCCAGCACAUGGGGCAGAAGUUCGCCAAUGCGGCUAUAGACUUUCCUUUACUGAAGUCUUUCCAUAAGAUGAGCUGAUGAAUGAAUGAAAGAAAAAAUAGUUAUUGACCCAUUUCCUUUGCCAGUCAUACAUAUUCUCAGUGAUGCAACGGAAAAGUAUAAUCCUUCACCCAUAUGAAAGCCCUUCAAAAACUUGAAAAAGAUACAUUUCAUCUAUAUCUAUCCAUCUAUCUAUCAUCUAUCCAUAUAUUCAUCUAUCUAUCUAUCUAUCUAUCUAUCUAUCUAUCUAUCUAUCUAUCUAUCUAUUCAUCCAUCCAUCUAUCUAUCUAUCCAUCUAUCUACCCAUUUAUCUAUUCAUCCAUCUAUCCAUAUAUUCAUCUGUCUAUCUAUCUAUCUAUCUAUCUAUCUAUCUAUCUAUCUAUCCAUCUAUCCACCCAUCCAUCUAUUUAUCUAUUCAUCUAUCUAUCUACCCAUUUAUUUAUCCAUCCAUCCAUCCAUCCACCCAUCUAUCUAUCUAUUUAUCUAUCUAUCUAUCUAUCUAUCUAUCUAUCUAUCUAUCCAUCUAUCCAUAUAUUUAUCUAUUCAUCUAUCCACCCAUCCAUCUAUUUAUCUAUUCAUCUAUCUAUCUACCCAUUUAUUUAUCCAUCCAUCCAUCCACCCACCCAUCUAUCUAUCUAUCUAUCUAUUAGAAUCAAGAAAGACAUCUUGAAGUGAGUAGCAUUUGAAUUAAACCUUGGAAGGAGCCAAGGGUUAUAAGAGGCAGAAGUGAGAACAGACAGUAUCCUAUGUGUGGAUAUCCUGUGGGAAAACAGAGAGGAGGGAUAUAUAAUAUUGUAUACGGGGAACAGCAAGCAGACCAGCUUGUCUGGAGCAUAGACUUGCAUGUGUAAUCAGUCUGAAAAGAUAGGCUGGAUCCACAUUGGGAAGGGUUUUAAAUUCCAAAUGGAGGGGGCAGGUAGGUGGCUUAGUGGGCUGAGAGUCAUGCCUAGAGAAGGGCAGCCUCAUUCCAUGCAAAAGCACUUCUCUUUCUCCCAUCUUGGUUCUUCUGUUCCCUUCUUCUUUCUUCCUUUCAGCACUGUCUUUCCUCUCCCAAAUACUCUAUUCAGUGCUUUCUGCCACAUCUCUUUGUCAUUGUGAGAAAAGUUUUCUAUAAUUGCCAUGACUAAUACAACACUUUCUACCUGUGCCUUCUUCCCCUUCCCAAAGUAUAGACAGAAGACAAGCAAAGUCAAGAUAGCUCUCAUGUCUGUCUGCAACAUUAAAAAAAAAACAACCAAUAAACAAUAGACAUAGUUAUGCCUUUCAAUCAAUUGCAUAACUGUAAGAAUAUCUGCUCUACUUCACUGUAUAUCUUAGAUAUCAGACCUUUACCAAAGGUAAUUGAGACAGAUUUUUUUCCUGUAUGUCAGUUUCCCUUUGUAUUGUAGUUGCGUACAUUUUAAUUGUGUAAAAGCUAUUCAAUUUCCUGUAAUCGAAAUAAUCUAUUUUAUCAUUUGUGACUAGUUUUUCCACCUUAUCUUCUAAACAUAAUUAUAAAAUAUGCUUGAUCUGAUUCUCUUCUGAUUUCUUUAUGGUGUGACUUUUAUUUUAGCUACUAUUAAUUUUUUUAAAAUAACUAGAUUGUUUGUUUACUUUUAACAUUCAUUAAAAAUAUUUUUGAGCUCUAAAUUCUCUUCUUCUCAUCAGUCCCUACCCCACCUAGUGAGAAAAUAAGUAUUAUAUAAGUAAUAGAAGCAAUUUGAUAUUAUAAUAUUGACAUGUGAAAUCAUGUAAAACAUUUUCAUGUUAGCCAUGUUGUAAAAAUAAAAAGCAAGAAUAAUCAAGAAAAUGAAAAAAAUUAUACUUCUAUUUGUACUCAGAGUACAUUAGUUCUCUCUCUGGAUAUAAAUAGCAUUUUUCAUCAUGAGUCCUUUGGAAUUGUCUUGGAUCAUUGUUUUAAUCAAAGUAGCUAAAUCUUUACAGUUGAUCAUUAUUACAAUAUUGCUAAUACUUGCACUUAUUCUGUUCAAUUGAAUAUGAAUUAUUUUAUAAAAAUCUUCCCAGAUUUUUCUGAAACCAUCUUGCUCAUCAUUUCUUAGAACACAAUAGUUUUUCACCUGGUGUGACUUUUAAUACUUUUAUCAUGUAUCCAUUCUGAUCUUAUUGGAGUAUAAAAUUUAUAUGGUAUUAAAUGUCUUAAAACCUAAUUUCUGCUUAUUUGCUUUCCAGUUUUCCUGUCAGUUUUCAUCAAAUAGGGAAUUCUUCUCCAAUGGCUUAUGUUCUUUGGUUUAACAACCACUGGAUAGAUUUCAAUUAUUUCUGUUUCUUCUUUAUCUAGUCUGUUGCACUCACCUCCUUUUCUAUCUUUGAAGCCAGCACCGGAUUGCUUUAUCAUAUAAUUUGAGAGCUAAUAGUGCUAUUUCCCUCUUAUUCUUGUUUAAAGUUCUAGACCUAUCAUUCCUCCAAAUGAAUUAUUUUGUCUAGCUCUGUAACAAACACAUUCCCUUGAUAGUAUGGUGUUAUGAAUCUAGAAAUUCAUUUAAAUGGUACCAUUAUCUGUCUGUGACUUUCUUAUUUCUUCAAGGGUAUCCUUGCUAUAUAGUUAACUAUUCUUUUUAAAAAUUGUUUUAUUGACAUCUAAUUUUUUUAUAACUGUCAUUUCCUAAUAACUACCUGAUCAAUGGACUCUGACUUUGUUUUUAGUUUUUUUUGCUACUGCAAAGAAUGCUAUUAUAAAUAUUUUAGCAUAUGAAACCUUUUUGACUGUUUCCUCCUCAAGGCAUUUGCCUGGUAGUGGAUUCACAUUUAUGUGAACAUAUAUACACUAUUCUCAUCUAUUUUAUAGACAUAAGAAAGUAUGUCUAUGAGUUAUUAGGUGAUGUUUUCUUGGUUAUCUUUUUAAAAGAAAUAACAGCAUAGUGCCUCCCCUCAUCUGUAGUCUUUUGGGGUUUUUCCCACUUUGAGAAUUCUUAAAAAUCUAUCCUUUAGGGGCAACUAAGAGGCUAGAUAGAAUACCAGGCUGCGAGAUGAGAAGUCCUAGGUUUAAACCUGACCUCAGACUCUUUCUGACUGUGUGACCCUGGACAAGUUACUUAGCCCUAGUUGCCUAGCCCUUAUCACUCUUGCCUUGGAACUGGAACUAGUACAAUUUUAAGACAGAAAGUAGGGAUUUUAAAAAAAUCGACCACUUUGUAUGUUAUUGUGGCAUGGAUAUCUUGGGGAUCUCUUUGAUUAGGUUCAGUAUCUCUUUCCAAUUUCAUCUCCUUAAACUCCACUGGUUCUUUGUCUUCAACUAGAUUUGAUUCUAAGGUGGUGGAGUCCAGAUUCAGUGGUUCUGCUGUCAUUACUGAGGAGAAAAGCUCACUGGCUAAUCUUUUCCAUUUCAUGUCUAUAUGUUAUCUUUCUUCACAAUUUCAGCUACAAAUACUCUUGAGAUAAUCUGGUAUAGUAGAGCCUCCUGUCAAGUUCUUUUGAGGCUCAUUUGCACAUUAACUGCUUUUCGCUGCUGAGAAGCUAAAUGGAUCAUAUAUAAUCUUCUAGCAUUCUCCUCCUUUUCAUCUAAACAAGUAUUUCCCUUGGUUUCCAUGCUCCUUCACUUGGCAAGGAGAUCAAGGGCUUUCUGGACUCCUUUUUUUUUUCAGAGCGACAACCUUUUUUUGUGACAACCAUGUUUUAAAACUCAUUUAAAUGUCUAUAAGACAUAAGGAUCCACAACAAUUAUAACAACAACAAUAAUAAUUGAAACUCAUUUCAUUUUUUUUUUAAGCCCUUACCUUCCAUCAUAGAAUCAAUACUGUGUAUUGGUUCCAAGGCAGAAGGCAGCCGUAAGGGCUAGGCAAUAGGGGUUAAGUGACUUGUCCAGGGUCACACAGCUGGGAAAUAUCUGAGGUCACAUUUGAAUCCAGGACCUCCCAACUCUAGGCCUGACUCUCAAUCCACUGGGCCACCCAUCUGCCCCCCUUUGAGGUUUCCAAAGUGUUUAUGAACUUUAUCUCAUUUGAUUCUUAAAACAACCCCGUGACGUAAGUACUACCAAUACCCUAAUUUAUGAGGAAGUGGUGAAGGCUCAGAGAUGCUAAGAGCCUUGCCUACUAUGAUCAUACAACCAGUGGGUACCAGAGAUAAGAUUUGAACCCAGGUCUUUCUUUGCCUCUAACUCCAGCUUUCCUUUCAUUACACCAGGCUGGUCCUUAAUACCUCCCUUCAGCCCAUUUCUUAUUUUGUUGUUGUUGUUUGAGUUUUCAAAGCUGACAGCCUAUAUAGACAGACCAGGUUGGUUCAGUUCAAGCUGCUCUAAUUACAUGCAGCUUAGCCUUUCUUCCAAUUGGGUAUUGAUUUUGACACGCGAUCUAACCAGUCAAUGACCCUGAUUUUGAAAUAUUUUCCCCGCCCUAACCAGCUGUUUCCUGUCUAUUACAUCUCUUAAAGAAGGCUAAAUCUCAUGAGCUUCUCUAGCAGUUGUCACAUUAUUGACUCAUAUUGAGUUUGCAAUCCAAUAAAGCCCCUAAGUCUUAUUCACCUGAAUUGUUGUCUAGCUAUGUCUUACCCCACAAUUACAUUAAUGCAGUUGGGCUUUUUCCUUAAGUUAAAAUAAUUUAUAUUUAUCCUUGUUAAGUUCUUAAAAAGAACAUUUUGGAUGACUUCAUCUGAGUAACCAAUAAUAAUUCCUAACAGACUGAAGAUUUCAAGUAGGUACAUCUCGGUUGCUAUCAAACAAUUAAUCAACAUUCAAGUAUGGUCAUUCAAUUAACUAUAAUCCACGAAACUAGAGAAUCAUCAAACCCAUAAUUCCUCUUCUUGUUGACAGAAAUAUUAGGAAGACUUUGUCUAAUACCUUUUAGCAAUCUAGAUGGUGUCUCCAGUAUUUCCCAAAUCUAUAAGCUUAGUAACUCUUUCAAAAAAGGAAAUGGAGUUCAUGAGAUAUGAUAUGUUCUCAGUCAAAGUCUGGCUUCAUCACUUCCCUCACUCCCAGAGUGUUCACAAUCCAUUUAGUUAUUAAUUCUAGAUUUUUUUUAAAUUUAAAUUUAAAUUAAAAAAAAUUUAAACCCUUACCUUCUGUCUUAGAGUCAAUACUGUGUAUUGGCUCCAAGGCAAAAGAAUGGUAAGGGCUAGGCAAUGGGGGUCAAGUGACUUGCCCAGGGUCACACAGCUGGGAAGUGUCUGAGGCAAGAUUUGAACCUAGGACCUCCCGUCUCUAAGCCUGGCUCUCAAUCCACUGAACUACCCAGCUGCCCCCUUAAUUCUAGAUUUUUAUGGAAGUUUGCAUUGAAUUCUAUACUCUGUAAUCUUCUUAGAAUCAACCAUUUCCCCUUUCAGGAAACUGAGAUGUUCACCUGACUUCAUUUUUUCAGCAACUUUCCAAAAGAUUUACAGGGCUAGUUAAGUAAUUAUAUCUGGAAGUUCUUUCAGCACCCUCAGUUUUUAUACAUAAGGCCAAGAGAUGUUGUCACUUAAAUAAAAGGCUUUAUAUUUAUCACUAUCAAGUUUCAUCUUGGAUUUAGUAAGUCAAGAUUCUUUUAUAUUAUGAUUCUGUCAUUUAAUGUGUUGAUUUUCCCUCCCAGCUUUUGUGUCAUCUGCACAUUUGAUAAGUAUGACAUUUUUGCUUAUAUCUAAAAUAUGUUGAUAAAAUAAGAACAUACUAAACAACAGCACAAACAAGGAUAUUCCACUACAGACCUCCUUCCAAGAUGACAUUGAACCACUAAUGAGUAUGUUUGAGGUCUACCACUUAACAAAUUAUUCCAAAUAUACCGAUUUAUGCUAUUACAUAGCUGACAUCUCUCUUAACGUUUCCAUAAGCCAAGCAUAGCAAACCUUUUCAAGAAACUCUGCUAAAGAGCCUAGCUUAGAGACAGGUCCCAGGUUUGAAUGUGACCUCAGGCACUUCCUAGUUGUGUGACCCUGGGCAAGUCACUUAACCCCUAUUACCUAUUCUUUACCACUCUUCUGCCUUAGAACCAAUCAUAGUAUUAAUUCUAAGAUAAAAGGUAAGAAUUUGAAAAAAAAAAGAAAGAAAAAACUGCUAAAAUCUAGGAAGCUAUAUGUAGAGUAGAGGUGUCACACAAGCAGAUUAAAAUAUAUAUGGGAAAUAUUUAACAAAAUGAAAAAUACAAUGAAAUGUAGAUAACUAUAUUUUAAAACAGUUAAUAUGUAGCUUGUGGGGAUUUUUUUCAUGGCCCCAUUUCUAUUUGAUUUGGCUGUACAACAAUGUACAACACUUCAACCAUUAAGUUUAACUAAGUUAAUUAUUUAAUUCCCAAAGAUGAUCUCUUCUCCAGGCAGCCUCUCCCAUUCCCUAAUUAUAAAGAUCCAUGCAACCUUUCAUUCUUCCUCUUACCCAUAUCUAAUUAGAGACCUCACAGAUAGCAUUUGUUCAUAUUUCUAUGACUUCUCUUGCUUUAUAGUUAAUUUUGUGUGAAUUAUAACUCCAGAAACCAUGUUUUAUCUGAAUUUUGUAUCUCCCCUAAUAUCCAGCACAGAAAUUUAACUUAGAGUAGGUACGUAAUACCUUUUAGCUGAAUCGCUUUUCAUGUAUGAUAAAAGUGCAUUCUGCCACCCUUCUUUCAUAUUGGCCUCUUUUGCCUCUUCCCAAAUCUCAGCAAUACCAAGAAGCCAUGAUGGAAUGUUAAGUCUUUCAUCUAUUGCCUAUAAUCUGUAUAACCUAAUUUAGUGGGAGGGAACAGAAAAUUUGAAGUCAGAAGCCCUGCACUGAUUCAAGCCCUGGCUUGAUGAGCUGACUGAGGUCAAGAAAGUCAUGUAUAUUCUGCAUUAUCUACCUUAUUGAGUAACUGAGAGAACAAAUGAGAUAAUGUAUGUGAACUCCUCUGUCACUGUAUGUUAAUGUAGCCGGUGGCUUCCUCCAUCUCCCCCACACUUUCUAGAAUCACUCAGCCUGAAUUCAAUUCUGGAAAUUCUCAACUCCCACCUAGACAAUUCUAGGUUGAACUCUUUUGGUUCCAAGGAAAUCUACUAGUAUAAUAAUGAUAUAAGAAGGUUGCCAGCUCCCUCCCAUGUCUGCACUCAAAUUACUAAAUCCAUAUUGGGUAUAAGAAAGCCUUUUUUUUCAUCUCACAAAAAAAUACGAAAGAUGAAAAAGGAUUCAUAGGAACUGAAAACAUUAAGGGGGACUUGAACUUAGUGUCACUACCAGAGCAACCCUCUAAUACACUAGUGAAGCAUUUCCUAUGAUGUAGUUCCAUGCAGUGUCCACUAAAAUAAUGAGUACUACUCUGUGGUCAUGCCAGGCAUUAUACAAGAUACUGAUAAUACAAAGACAAGAAUAAAAUAGUAUCUGACCUCAAAGGGCUUAUGCUCAGUUAUGGGAGACAACAGGUACACAUGUUAAGUAAGUAUAGAAUAAAUACUACAUAAAUACAAGGUAGUUUUAGGAAGAAGGUCAUUAAAGGUCACUUAAUCAAUUCAUUUUUGUUGUUGCAAUGAGGGUCCAUUUACAGUUACAUAACAUAAAUUUGUAGUAAAUUCAUUGUGGUUUUGUGAGAUUCUUCAUUUCUUUUCAUCAGUACAUGAAAAGAAGUGAAGGCAGUGGAUGAGGAAAAAUUCAAGGUCUGGGCAUGGCAAGAUGCAGUUGGUGAAAGGAAUAAGAUAGGAAAGGACUCGUACAGAAAAUAGUCUUGAGUCAAUUAGUUUACAAAGAGGGUAAGAUAGGGAAAGGCGGAGCAUAUGGCCAGUGUGGAGAUGAUGGUGGGUAGUCAUGGUGAAGGAAAAAUGAAAUGAUAAAUGAAUAUCUCAAAUUUAUGUAAUGAUUUUUGUUGUAUAUUUCCUCACAAAAACCCAUUAUACAGUGUCAGUAUUAUCCCAGAAUCAGAAUUUUUUAAUUAGCAGGUUCCUUAACAGUCAACUAAUACAGUUCAAAAGGGAAAAAAAAAUCUCCACUACAGCAUUAUCCAUCCUCUGCUUAUUCCCCUCUAGUGAAGGGAAACCCAAUAUUUUCUAAGGUAGUACAGUUUGGAUUACAAUUAUCAAAUUUUCCUGUUAACAGAUGAGAACUGAAACUCAGAAAUGUUAAGUUAUUAGUCCAGGAUUGUAUAUUUAGUAGAUAUCAAGAUUUAAGAUCAAGUCCAGUUCUUCUGACUUCAUAUCUAGUGCCUUUCCAUUCCCACAAUGGUUGUGUCUGACCUAUUCGACCUCUCCAUCUCCUAUUGUGAAGAGAUAACUAUUAACAUGCCAGUGGAUCGGGUGGUGAUUUGACACAGAAUAGAAAAGGAGGGAAGUUAAUACUUGACUUAGAUUCACACAGUAUCUAAGUAUCUAAGAUUUAAUGUAGCUGGAAAGAGAUCUUAGAAAUCAUCCAGUUCAACUCUUUCAUUUUACAGAUGAGGAAACUGACAAAGAAGUUAAAUGACUUGUCUAGGGACAUAUAGUUAAUCAAACAAGCAUUUAUUAAAUGACCAUUGUUGUUCAUCCUUCAUCUCAAAGGGGACCAAUGGCAUCACAGUGAUCUAUUGACUUGUAGUGAAUUGGAUUUAAGUGAGGCAGAGUUGCACAAAGUCAUCAGUUUCACUCUAUUUUCCAAAAUCAUCCAAGUCCAAUGGCAAGACAAAAGUCAGGACAAAUGGGGAUGGCCUGAGAGCAAUGGAUGACCUUGGCAUCUUUGAUGUUUGACCAGGCUCUAAACACUCCAUGGUGCCUGCUUCCACCAUCUUCAUGGCCUUUGGAAGAAAUAGUUCUUAUCUACCCAUUACACCAGGGGAAGUCUUCACAAGCUUGGGAUGAACAUUCCCCUAACUCCAUGUUGGUGAACCUAUGGCAUGCCUGCCAAAGGGGGCUGCUCCCUUCCCCCUCUCCACAAGUGCCUGAGGAUAUUUCUUACAUCACCCACCCUAGCAGCCCAAUGGGAGCAUUUCCUCCCUCCCCUGCUUAGGAUAAGGUGGGGGGCUCACAUGUAGCAGUCUCUCUAAGGUUAGCCACCACUGCCCUAACUCAAUGAUGGAUUUGAAGCCCAUUGGUUACCCUGAACCUGGUUUAAUCCACCUGCCAAGAUGAUUUACUGCUGUACUUGCUAUAGCUUUUUCGAGGCACAGGUGAGAGUUGGGUGAAAUAUGGACACCAAAGGUAAAUGAGCACUCCUGAAAGGUCCUUGGCAAGUUCUCACACCAGGGGUGCUAGUUCUCCCUGAACACUCUAUAUAUCCUGUGAACUUUAGAUUCCUCCACCCUACUUAGUCUACAUCCAUACUUAAGGAUUAAGUAUUUAGGAGGAUGGCCUAUGACAGACAUAUGCUAGCAAAUGACAAAUCAGAAACAACUGACAGACCCCUAGGCAGUCCUAAGUCAAGCUUAAGCUACCAUUGGUACAUGUGAGAUGCAGGAAGUGAUGUAAAAACCGUAUGUAUAUUUCGCAUCACUUUCUCUCUCUGGCCUCUUUAGUGGUGGAGAGGUGGCUGGCGGAGCGUGCUGAGCAUUUUGGCAUCUUGGGUGGUGGCUGCUAUUGUCCAGGUUUAGCAAUGAGUUUUCCUUGAUACCAUUCUGGAGGAAGCUGAGUAGCCUAGCUCAGGUGAGGCAUCUUUACUGAGCCCUCUCAGAGUUUAGGCUGAUUCUUUCUCCUUUACCUUCCAAACACUAUCCUCUUAGAAAGCCACUAAUCUUCUUCAGAGACCUCGUGGCAGAGGACUUUGAACUCCCCCUGGCACAGGCCAGGUGGGAGAAAUCCUAUACCUUUUCCCUCUCCCUUCUCCUUAAGUCCUUCCCUCUAUAUUAAUUAAACCACCAUAAAUUUGCAAACUGACUUCGUUAUUUUAUUUGGGAUAUUCCCUGGUGACCACAACCCUAAAAUUACCCUUACAAUCCCAUAUUCAUGAGUUCAAAUCUGGCUUCAGAGUCUUACUAGCUGUAGAACCCUGGGUAAGAUCCUUAACUUUGCUUGCCACAGUUUCCUUAUCUAUAAAAUGAGCUGAAAAAGGUAAACAAGGCCAGUAUUUCUGCCAACAUAACUUUAAAUGAAUCCAGGAAGGGCUAGACAGGCCUGAAAAAUGACUAUUGUACUAAAUUCUUUGUAUUAAAUGAUUUCUGAGGAUAUAGAGAUAAAAAUGAAGUAAUCUCUGUCCUCGAUAAGCUUAUACUUUAUCAGAGAAACAACAUGAACUGAGGUACCCUGAAUCCAAAUCCUAUGUUCUUUCCACAUCAUGUUGAUCCUUCUCAGUGCCUCAGUUUCAUUACUGUAUCACUUUGCACAAGUUUUCCCAUAAGCCUCUCAAUUUUUCAUAUUCUUUAUUCCUUAUAGCAUAACAAAAUUCCAAAUACAUUCUAGCCUGAGUUUAUGUAGCCAUCCCUGGAACCUAGGGUUUCCAGACCUUUUGCUCUUAUGAAUAGGACUGUGAUGAGUAUUUUUCUCCAGGUAGGAAGAUCUUUUCUUUCUGUUAAUAAAGUAACGAGAUCAAGCACAGACUAUAGGUACUAUGUAAGGCCCUAGGGAAAUGAAGACAAAACCAAAAAUCAGACCCUAAUGACACAGAGUUAAUAAUCACCUCAGUGGGAUGGGGGAUUGCAAGGAUGCAAUAUGUAUACAGACAAGUAAAUACAAGAUAAUUCAAGGAGGGAGAGAGCCAUAACAGCAUAAUACCUGGCACACAGUAAGAACUUAAUGAAAGAUUCAGCAAGCUAAGAUUCAUGUCUCAGGUAUCAUAUUCUGGAAAGGCAGCAUUGACACUCCAAACAUUUGAGUUCAAAUUCAAUUGCUGACAUUUAUUGGCUGUGUGAUUAUAGACAAAUUCCUUAACCUCUCUGGCCCUGCAUUUCCACAUUUGUAGAAUACAUAGUUAUGCCUCCUUCUGAGGGCUAUUGCCAGGCUCAAAUAAAAUAAUUUAUGCAAAAUUCUUUGCUGACUCUAAAGCGGUGCAUAGAUAUCAAUUAUUAAAUGCUGUCUAAAUCUUGUUUUCUCCAAGCUAAGCAUUCCUAGUUUUUAAAAUAGAUCCUUCAGUGGCAGGUUCCCAAUUCCCUCACCAUCAUAUUCCCUUUCCUCUGGAGGCAGUGUAACAUGUCACUGUCCUUCUAUAAUAUGGCACACAUAUUUGAAUGGAAUACUCCAGAUGUGGUCAGUCCAGGUUUUUGACCAAGAGUUCACUCUUAUUUUUGUUUUUGAUUUGAAAGUAACGGGCAGAUUCCCUUUCAGAUCUCCAACACAUUUAUUAGUGACAAAAAUUGUAAACAAACAAAUAUGUGUAGACAUCAACAUCUACAGUUACAUCUCUAGACUUGUAAUAAACCACACUUUGCUCCCUUGCUGUCUGUGCCAGGCUCCCUUCAUUCUGGCAAGCCAACUCCCUCCCUGGGGCCCUGGGAUUCUGAUUGGCAAGAUUUCACCAUAUGGCGCCAAGAUCCUGACCCAGCAUUCUGCUCUCCAGCCAUCUUCAAAUGAAAUCUACAUUCCUGUUCCUGGAAACAAUAUCUCAAGCAGUUGUUCUAUGACUCUAAUGCCAAUCUCUCUGACUUCCCUAUUAAAAACACCCUUCCUGGUCGCUAUACCCCUAUGUACGUGUAGUCUUCCCUUAUUGGAAUAGAUGCUCUGUGAAGGCAAGGGCUCUCUUACUUGUCUGUAUUUGUGUCCCUAGGCCUUAGAACAAUGCCUGGAACAAAGUCAAUACUUAAUAAACACUUUUUAUUUCAUUAAUCUGCUCAUCCAUUUGGUAUGGAAAAGCUUCCCUUUUUUGACUUUUUUUUUAAAGGCCAUAGAAAAACAAGUAUAUAACAUUUGUGUAACUGAGAAGUUAUUGAUAUAGAGAAGCUACAGGAAUACAAACAUGAUUCAUGAGGAAUUGAGAAGUCUUUAUACAAAGAGGGACACAAUAAAUCAGAUGUGUCUGUGUGGUAUCGAAAGGAUAAAGUAGCCACUGGGCUAAUAGUCUUAAGAAGAAUUCCUACACAGACAGCCUGGACUCGAGUUCACAAAUCUCUAGGGGUGCAGUUGGCUUGGGACUGGCAGGUCUUUAAGGUUAGAUAUUCCAGAGGCCAGUGAUAGGCUGGUGAAUGGUUACCUCAGUACAUUAUGAACUGAGUUUUAUAGUUUUCUUAGAGCCAAGGCAAUAACAGAUUGGUUCUUUGACUAUUUGUUGGUAUAGUGCAAUCUUUCUUUGUCAAUCAGGUGACAAUUCUCACUGGAAGGUCUUGGCCAAUUAAUUCGGAUCGAAUCCCUACAUGGGACUUCCCCAAUAGGUCAAAAUGAAUAUUUGAAAGUUAUAAGCACUAUAGCAUUAAAAUAUAUGUGCUCAGUGCUGAGAAUAUUGGAGUUUCUUUUUCUUUACCCAUUCAGUCUACAGAAUACAAUGGGACAAUCACUUCCUUUAUCUUAUAUUUCUAAUUUUGUAGCCCAAGAUCACAUUAGGUUUUUUGUUUUGGGCUGUCACAUCAUAUUUUCAUUGACUUAUUGUAAUUCACUAUCCUCUGCCCUGGUUUAUCUUUUUACAUGAAUAUUUUCAGAUACAGCCAUACCUUCUAUACUUGUACAGUUGAUUUCUUUUGAACCCAAGUGCAAGACUUAAUAUUUACCACUAUUAAAUGUCAUCUGAUUUAAUCCAUUAUUUUGGCUUUCCAAGAUCAUUUUUGGAUCAUAAUUCUGUUAUCAAGCAUGCUUAGUUAUCCUUCCCAGCUCUGUGUUUCUUACAAAUUUGAUAAGCACUUUUAAGCAAGUGAAAUAGAAUUUAAGAAACCAGAGCAAAGGAUAGAUUCCUGGGGUAUUCUGUUACACAGAUUGAAAUUGAUUUAUUAGUCAUUUGAUCUUUGGUUCUAAUCCUUCAGUUAGGCCUGAACCCAAUUAACUGCACUAAUAUCUAGCCCACAUUCUCCAUUUGCCCACAAAGACAUGCCAAGAGACAUUGUCAAAUGCCUGAAUGAAAUCCAGAUGGACUGUGAGAACAUAUUUUCUAUAACCAAUAUAUUUAGUAACUAUCAAAGGGAAGGAUGAAGUUUGGUUUGACUUGUUCUUAAUGAGUUCCCGUGAUUAUUAAUUCUCUUCCCCCAUAUUCACAAAUUAUUGUAUAGCUUUUUCAGGAAUCACAGUGAAACUCACUAGGCUAUAGACAAAAGAAUCCACCCUCCUUCCCUUUCGAAAAUCAGGGAAUUUGCCUGUGUAUAUGGUACUGAGACCCUUCCCUCUCUCCUCUUCUCAGAAUGACACUAAAGGAACAGGAAAAUGCUCUCAUUUGCAUUUCCCAUAUUAGGUAAAGUUGAGAAUGUAAUAGCUGAGAAUAACUCGAAUAAUCUCACCCCUUUGUCACAGAGGGAUGAUUUGGAGUUAAAGAAGAAUUCAGGGAGGAAUUAGGAUGCUGUCUGAACUCCCAGCUGAGCAGGAAGUAUUCCCUCCAGUGGGAAGCCUCCUUCACCGGUGUCAGAAGAAGCUGGAGAAAACAUGCAAAUCCAAUGAAUCUCACCUAACUUCUUUGUUGGGUUCUGUGCCCUGCAUCACUCUAACUUCAUAUUUGGAGCUAAUGAAACUCAGUCUAAAGGUUUGACUCUGCCUUUGACUCUUACUCCAAUCCUGGGAGGGGAGGAGGAGAGGAUCUGAGUAGUGAUCCAUUACCCAUUCGGCAUAUUAGACACAAUCCUCAAGGUUCUUACUAUUAGCUGAAGCAAAGCCUUUAAUAAAUGAGAAUCAUGGGGGGCAUGUGGGUGACUCAGUGGAUUGAAAGCCAGGGAGGUCCUGGGUUAAAAUCUGGCACUAGACACUUCCUAGCUGUGUGACCCUGGGCAAGUCACUUAACCCCCAUGGCCUAGCCCUUACCACUCUUCUUCCAUGAAACCAAUACAUAGUAUUGAUCCUAAGGUAGAAGGUAAGAGUUUAAAAACAAUGGGAAUCAGACUGGGCAAUACAGGUUUCAGAUCUUCUCUAUGCUACUCCUUUGCCAUGGGUCUGUAGAUCUGGGGUUCAGGUCAUGACCCAUCACAGAGUUCAUGACUGAAGGAUGCGUUCCAGGUUGGAAGCACCUUCAUCAGUCCUGGCUUCCUGGGCUCAGGCCCAGGAUUGAUAACAAUCAUCACACUGCAGUGUGAUGUGUUAAAAGGACACUGAAUUUGGACUUACAGCACCUGGGUUUAAAUCCAGGCUCUGCUACUAUCUGUGUGGCUUUGGCCAAAUCCCUUCACAUCUCUUGGCCUUGGUUUUCUCAUCUGUGAGAUAAGAUGACUGAACUUCAGGACUUUAUUGUUUGAAAUCUAAAGUCUCUCCCUUCCUGCAUGCCGUCCAUUCCCUCUGGCUCUGGUUGUAGCUUUCUAGACACUGACAUCAUGGCCAAGGCAGGUCCUCUCCUCUUUAGUGUGUUGCCUUCCCCAGUGAGAAUGCCAACUCCUUGAGGGCCAGCUCUGUCUUUUUCUCUUGCUUGCAUUUGUGACUCCAGCACCUAGCACAGUCCCUGGCACAAAGGAAGAGCUGAAUAAAUGCUUUGUUGCCUUACUUUGCCUUACCUUCCCAGGGUAAAGGCCUAGAACGCAAGACUUUGUUCUAUCAUUCUGUUACAAGAUCCCCUUUUGCCCAGAUGAUGACAAACACAUUCCUGGUCAAGUCACACUGAAAAGAAAAAGAGUUUUAAGGGAUUUUAUUUUAGAGAUGCCAAAGGCUUUGUAGAUAAUGAAGGAAAUGAUUAUUUCUAUUUUGUUGCUCUGCCCUUGCCUAAUUUAUUUUACUUGCAAAUUAUUGACUUAAGAAUUAAGAAUUAUACAGGAUGAAGCAAUGGUACAUGACUAAUAAGACUUACAAGCAAAGAGAUAAAACAAUCCCUUUUAUAUCAGGUAUGACCAGCAGAUCUACCUUUUGGAUUGUUUGAAUCACGUAGUCUGGAAAAUAUUCCUUUAUAAAAGACAAUCACAGUAGGUCACCAUCAAGCUGUCCACUCCUGUCAUGUCAUAUAAACACAUUGACAGUUAAAAAAAGAAAGAAAAGGAAAAAAAGCAUUGUAGAAAUUCUCCUUUAAUUUAGUAAUAUAAAACUUAAAUAGAAACAGGAGAUGACAAACACUAUGC